GAUGAACGCUGGCGGCGCGCCUAACACAUGCAAGUCGAACGAUUAAAGCACCUUCGGGUGUGUAUAAAGUGGCGAACGGCUGAGUAACACGUGGGCAACCUGCCCCUCUCAUUGGGAUAGCCACGGGAAACCGUGGAUAAUACCGAAUACUUCGGGACUUCCGCAUGGAAGACUCGAGAAAGCUCCGGCGGAGAGGGAUGGGCCCGCGGCCUGUUAGCUUGUUGGUGGGGUAAUGGCCUACCAAGGCAAUGAUGGGUAGCUGGGUUGAGAGACCGACCAGCCAGAUUGGGACUGAGACACGGCCCAGACUCCUACGGGAGGCAGCAGUGGGGAAUCUUGCACAAUGGGCGAAAGCCUGAUGCAGCGACGCCGCGUGCGGGAUGAAGGCCUUCGGGUUGUAAACCGCUUUCAGCAGGGACGAGGCGAAAGUGACGGUACCUGCAGAAGAAGCCCCGGCUAACUGCGUG
rnacentral:rRNA from 1 species